GCCACCGUAGCUCAAUAGGCAGAGCAGGCGCUUCGUAAGCGUCAGGUUAUCGGUUCAACUCCGAUCGGUGGCU
rnacentral:tRNA from 1 species